rfam:Gossypium hirsutum cultivar TM-1 unplaced genomic scaffold scaffold1428.1, whole genome shotgun sequence
AAUUAAAAUUUUCAUGCAUUUUUAUUGUUAAAAACUAGCACGUGAUUGAUGAAAUAACUAUACAGUUACACAUGACAUGUUACGUCGACGUACAUGAACUGGUUUUUAACGGUACAAAUAGAUGAAAAUUUUAACA